rnacentral:rRNA from 1 species
UACGAAGGGGGCUAGCGUUGCUCGGAAUGACUGGGCGUAAAGGGCGCGUAGGCGGUUUUUCAAGUCAGAUGUGAAAGCCCCGGGCUUAACCUGGGAACUGCAUUUGAUACUGGAUGACUGGAGUACGAGAGAGGAAAGCGGAAUUCCUAGUGUAGAGGUGAAAUUCGUAGAUAUUAGGAGGAACACCAGAGGCGAAGGCGGCUUUCUGGCUCGUAACUGACGCUGAGGCGCGAAAGCGUGGGGAGCAAACAGG